rnacentral:rRNA from 1 species
CGGCUGAGGAAGACGGAAGGAACCUGCCCGACAGAGGGGGAUAACUCCGCGAAAGCGGGGCUAAGACCGCGUACGCUCGUGAUGGGGAGAACAUGACGAGGAAAGCCGCAAGGCGCUGACGGAGGGGCUUCCGGCCCAUCAGGUAGUUGGUGAGGUAAAGGCCCACCAAGCCGAUGACGGGUCGCUGGUCUAAGAGGAUGAUCAGCCAGACUGGGACUGAGACACGGUCCAG